AUUGAACGCUGGCGGCAUGCCUUACACAUGCAAGUCGAACGGUAGAGGGGGCAACCCCUUGAGAGUGGCGAACGGGUGAGUAAUGCAUCGGAACGUGCCCAGUAGUGGGGGAUAGCCCGGCGAAAGCCGGAUUAAUACCGCAUACGACCUACGGGUGAAAGCGGGGGACCUUCGGGCCUCGCGCUAUUGGAGCGGCCGAUGUCAGAUUAGCUAGUUGGUGGGGUAAAGGCCCACCAAGGCGACGAUCUGUAGCUGGGCUGAGAGGACGACCAGCAACACUGGGACUGAGACACGGCCCAGACUCCUACGGGAGGCAACAGUGGGGAAUUUUGGACAAUGGACGAAAGUCUGAUCCAGCCAUGCCGCGUGCGGGAAGAAGGCCUUCGGGUUGUAAACCGCUUUUGUCAGGGAAGAAAUCUUCUGGGCGAAUAACCUGGGAGGAUGACGGUACCUGAAGAAUAAGCACCGGCUAACUACGUGCCAGCAGCCGCAGUAACAC
rnacentral:rRNA from 1 species